UUUAAUGGUCCAAGGACCAAUGUUUCGUGAAGCAGCGGUUUUGCGGAAUGGUAUCGCAUGUCGUUGGCAUGGAAAAUAUCCCAAUGUAUCACCGAUGCAGCAGGGACAACCCAAAGAACAGUUUCCAGAACAAUUUACAGAGCAUUGUACAGAAAGGUUUACUGAACAGUUUACAGAACGAUUAAUAGAAGGGUUUACUGAACAGUUUACUUAGCAGAGCACAGUUUACUUAACAGUUCACUGAAUAGUUCACAGAGGGGUCUACUGAACGGUGUACUGGGCGGUGUACUGAACAGGAAACAGGAGGGUUUGCGGAACAGUUUACUGUACAGUUUACAGAUGAGUUUACUGAACGGUUUACAGUUGAGUUUACUGAACGGUGUGCUGAACAGUUAACAGAUGAGUUUACUGAACGGUGUACUGAACAGUUUACAGAUGAGUUUACUGAACGGUGUACUGAAAAGUUUACUGAACAGGACACAGAAGGGUUUGCGGAACAGUUUACUGUACAGUUUACAGAUGAGUUUACUGAACGGUGUGCUGAACGGUUUACCGAACAGGUUAGAGAAGAUUUUACAGAACAAUUUGCUUAACACUUUACAUAUGGGUUUACUGAACAGUUUAAAGAAGUGUUUGCUGAACAGUUUAAAGAAUACAUGACCAAACAGUUUUGUUCUUAAUGUAUAAAAGAUGUCCGAUGCAUGAAUACGUUUUGAUGCUGUUGCAGAUGUUGUAAUGUGCCACUUUGUUUAUACAUUUCUUGCUCAAUAUAACAUAGACGCUCUCGCCAGGAGAUAUGUACCUUCUUGUUAGUAUAGAGAUCAGCUUGGAGGUACCAGGGUGUGAUAAGCUUUUAGGUACCAGGAUGUGAUAAGCUUGGAGGUACCAGGGUGUGAUAAGCUUGUAGGUACCAGGGUGUGAUAAGCUUUGAGGUACCAGGGUGUGAUAAGCUUGGAGGUACCAGGAUGUGAUAAGCUUGGAGGUACCAGGAUGUGAUAAACAUGAAAACCUGAGACAAAUGUUACUACUUCAGCAUUAUAAAGUUCCAUCUUCAUGAA